rnacentral:misc_RNA from 1 species
AUAGAUUGGGCAAACUAAUCCUUCAUACUAUAGAUUUAACAAAAAAACCUAGCAUCAAACAUGAUUGUCUUCUACAAAUAAGAAAAAAAAAAAAAAUUCACCCUUUCAAAAUAUGGAUGUGUAGAACUAAAAAGAUAGUUGAUGAUCUUAGUAGAUAAGAAGUGAAAGAUUUGUAGAAACAAAAUUUUAGAUGGAAAGUUGAAAAAGUGAGACACAACAACUUAAAACUCCUCAAACGAAAAGCAAGUUAUGAGAAAGAGUGCUGCUUCCAUAUGGGAAAGAAAGAAAAAUGUAAAAAGUGAGGUAAUGGACCGUUACUGUUAAAUAAUGGUAACGGCCAUUACCACCAUGUAAAGUUCGUUAUGGCCAUUACAAGUGAAUUUUUUAAUUUAUUUUUUCAA